AUUGAACGCUGGCGGCAGGCCUAACACAUGCAAGUCGAGCGGAUGAAGGGAGCUUGCUCCUGGAUUCAGCGGCGGACGGGUGAGUAAUGCCUAGGAAUCUGCCUGGUAGUGGGGGAUAACGUCCGGAAACGGGCGCUAAUACCGCAUACGUCCUGAGGGAGAAAGUGGGGGAUCUUCGGACCUCACGCUAUCAGAUGAGCCUAGGUCGGAUUGCUAGUUGGUGGGGUAAAGGCCUACCAAGGCGACGAUCCGUAACUGGUCUGAGAGGAUGAUCAGUCACACUGGAACUGAGACACGGUCCAGACUCCUACGGGAGGCAGCAGUGGGGAAUAUUGGACAAUGGGCGAAAGCCUGAUCCAGCCAUGCCGCGUGUGUGAAGAAGGUCUUCGGAUUGUAAAGCACUUUAAGUUGGAAGGAAGGGCAGUAAGUUAAUACCUUGCUGUUUUGACGUUACCAACAGAAUAAGCACCGGCUAACUUCGUG
rnacentral:rRNA from 1 species